GCCCGUCUAGCUCAGUUG
rnacentral:siRNA from 1 species